GUUUCUAUCUCCCUCUCCCUUCCUCUCUGAAAUCAAUACAAAUAAAUUUUAAAAUAAAUAAAAAUGUUAAACCUUGUAUUUCUGGCAUAAAGUCCACUUAGAGUAUAUUAUUGUAUCAGGGUUUGAUCUGCUCUAAAUCAUACACAAUAUGGGAUUUAUUAGAGGAACUUAACUGUAGGGAACUGUGGGGGCAGUCCAAUAUUUAAUGCACAUCUCCUACUUCUCUCCUUGGUGCUGGGACUGGCCCAAGAGUCUGGAGAACCCGGAGGAGGAGAAACGACAUGAGCUGGAAGAGUCGUGGGCUUGGCGGCUGCCCCAGGAGUGGCACACGUUGGCCAAGGACUCCGAGAAUCUGGAGGAGGAACUCUGGAGGGAGCUGGAGGAGCCCGGGCUCAGCUGCCGCUUCCAGGGCUGCACACUCCGGUCCUGGACUCCGAAAAUCGAGCAGAUCCAGUAGGAGCUGAAGGAACGGAGGGCCCAGAAGGCGAGCUAGCAGGCCACAUCAGCUUCUAUAUGUCACUUCUGGACCAAAGGUGUAGGCCAAGCAUGUCAAACUCGCGGCCCACCCAAUAUAACGGCUUUAAACUGAUAACCAGACUCGUACUUCCCAUCUUGUCCAUUUGGCCAACACUUUAGUCAUCCUCCAAGA